GAGUGUAGUGGCUUUUAGUAACAUCAUACAAUUACUAUUGUGAGUGUCAUGGAGUUUAGUAACAUCCUACAAACACUGAAUAAUUUCCCAAAAGUCAGGGUUUUUAUAACUGCUCAUAUCUGAAUAGUAAGAAACGUAUUUUGUGAAAGAUUUCUUUGACGAAAGUUUAGAAUUCAUAUAUGGGCAGUAAUUUUAAACAAUGGGAUACCAACAAUUAUACUUGUUCGGGCAAA